rnacentral:rRNA from 1 species
UACGUAGGGGGCAAGCGUUGUCCGGAUUUAUUGGGCGUAAAGAGCGUGUAGGCGGCCUGGUAGGUCGGUUGUGAAAACUCGAGGCUCAACCUCCAGACGUCGACGGAAACCGCGUGGCUAGAGUCCGGAAGAGGAGAGUGGAAUUCCUGGUGUAGCGGUGAAAUGCGCAGAUAUCAGGAAGAACACCAAUGGCGAAGGCAGCUCUCUGGGACGGUACUGACGCUGAGACGCGAAAGCGUGGGGAGCGAACAGG